GGAGGGUGCAAGCGUUGUUCGGAAUUAUUGGGCGUAAAGAGCGUGUAGGCGGUUCGGUAAGUCAGAUGUGAAAGCCCUGGGCUCAACCCAGGAAGUGCAUUUGAAACUACCAGACUUGAGUACGGGAGAGGAGGGGGGAAUUCCCGGUGUAGAGGUGAAAUUCGUAGAUAUCGGGAGGAAUACCAGUGGCGAAGGCGCCCCUCUGGACCGAUACUGACGCUGAGACGCGAAAGCGUGGGGAGCAAACAGGAUUAGAUACCCUGGGUAGUCCACGCCGUAAACGAUGAGCACUAGGUGUAGCGGGUAUUGACCCCCCCUGCUGUGCCGUAGCUAACGCAUUAAGUGCUCCGCCUGGGGGACUACGGUCGCAAGACUA
rnacentral:rRNA from 1 species